AAAUCGCUCAUUGUGAUGAUGCGUUGGACUUCUAAUCCAAAGGACGUGGUUUCGAAUCCCACCUGGAAUA